AACUGGAACAAGAUGCAGGACCGAGUGUUUCUCUAAAGAAAGAAGGAGGAAACAGCAGUGUUGACCUGCCUCGGAGUCCACCCUCCACCCUCACCUCAGCUCUGCUCCGCAUCCCUCGUGCUCCUGGGUCACCGCCAACAGCACCGAAACCCCAGGGCUCACUCACUCUUGUGCUUCUGGGCAUGUCCAACCUGCAGCCAUCAGAGGGCCCCAUGCAUCCCAGGGUGCUAUAGACAUGGCCCAAUGUAUCUGCAGAGGACAUCAUGUCACAGUGUCAGAAGAUCAUGUACCCCACAUGUAUAGAGCGCUUUUCCACCCCCACCUCACUGAAACUCUAACAACCUCCAGUCUCAUCAGACUCUUGGGAAAGCCUGGCCUUGCAUGGUUCCUGAGCCUGCCUCUACCACACAAUUAAGCUUUGAGGCCUACUAAGGCCUAAAUGCUACUACCAAGGGCAAGGAGUCCCUGACUCCACUGUAAAAUCGUCUUCCUGUGUGGUGCCAUGUAUCUUGGGCUACCUUACCAUCAUUCUUGUCACCUACCACUGUAAUUACACAUUUACAGACUGCC
rnacentral:lncRNA from 1 species